ACUAGAAUAGAAGGGGCAUUUCGUACCACUUUCAGUGGUAUAGGUCUAGGGUAGCUAGGUCUGGUCUAAGGUUCUAUUUCUUUUAUCUUUGUU
rnacentral:tRNA from 1 species